AUUGAACGCUGGCGGCAUGCCUUACACAUGCAAGUCGAACGGUAACGCGGGGCAACCUGGCGACGAGUGGCGAACGGGUGAGUAAUGCAUCGGAACGUGCCCAGUAGCGGGGGAUAGCCCGGCGAAAGCCGGAUUAAUACCGCAUACGACCUACGGGGGAAAGCGGGGGACCGUAAGGCCUCGCGCUAUGGGAGCGGACGAUGUCGGAUUAGGUUGUUGGUGGGGUAAAAGCCUACCAAGCCGACGAUCUGUAGCUGGUCUGAGAGGACGACCAGCCACACUGGGACUGAGACACGGCCCAGACUCCUACGGGAGGCAGCAGUGGGGAAUUUUGGACAAUGGGGGCAACCCUGAUCCAGCCAUGCCGCGUGCGGGAAGAAGGCCUUCGGGUUGUAAACCGCUUUUGUCAGGGAAGAAACGCUCUGGGCUAAUACCCCGGGGUAAUGACGGUACCUGAAGAAUAAGCACCGGCUAACUACGUGCCAGCAGCCGCGGUAAAAC
rnacentral:rRNA from 1 species